GCGCUCACUUCAGCAGCACAUAUACUGAUAUUGGAACCUUAUUAGCAUGGCCCCUGUGCAAGGAUGACAAACAACUUCGUGAAGCAGUUCAUAUUUUU
rnacentral:snRNA from 1 species